rnacentral:lncRNA from 1 species
CUUUGGUGUAGUCCUGAAGCUUCCUAAGAAAGUUCACAUCAGGUGAUGGAUAGGAGCAACCCUGUAAAACCAGCCUUAGACUAUUUUUCAAACAGGCUGGUGAAUUACCAGAUCUCCGUCAAGUGCAGUAACCAGUUCAAGUUGGAAGUGUGUCUUUUGAAUGCAGAAAACAAAGUCGUGGACAACCAGGCUGGGACCCAGGGCCAGCUGAAGGUGCUGGGUGCCAACCUCUGGUGGCCGUACCUGAUGCACGAACACCCCGCCUACCUGUACUCGUGGGAGGAUGGUGAUUGCUCACACCAAAGCCUUGGACCCCUCCCAGCCUGUGACCUUUGUGACCAACUCCACCUACGCAGCAGACAAGGGGGCUCUGUAUGUGGAUGUGAUCCGUGUGAACAGCUACUACUCUUGGUAUCGCAACUACGGGCACCUGGAGUUGAUUCAGCUGCAGCUGCCCGCCCAGUUUGAGAAUUGGUGUAAGACAUCACAAUCCCAUUAUUCAGAGCGCGUAUGGAGUGGAAACGCUUAUAGGGUUUCACCAGGAUCCACCUCUGAUGUUCAGUGAAGAGUACCAGAAAAGUCUGCUAGAGCAGUACCAUCUGGGUCUGGAUCAAAAACGCAGAAAAUACGUGGUUGGAGAGCUCAUCUGGAAUUUUGCCGAUUUCAUGACUAACCAGUGUAAGUGGCAGUUUAGCGCAUGGGAUAAUGUACCCGUCCUCAUUUUUUCAGGUUGCCUUGCCCAUUCUGGACAUUUUGGCUGUAAGAAUAUUGGAAACAAAGGGGGAAAGCUGGUUUAUUCCAUGUAGGUUGCGUUGAGAAUUUCCUAGGAAAAGUAAGUUGUGCUUAGGAAGUAGGAAAGCAGCCAGGCCCCCGCUUCCCACAUACAGUCAAAAAGCAAGCAUGAGAGUCUGCUAUAGUGAGAUGGAAAUGGCUAGCUUGCCUUUUUCUUGUCUAUUUCAUAGCCAAGGAGGAAGGAAAAACUGGACCUCAUUAUGAAUUUACUUUUGGGAUACACUCAUUAUUCCAGAGGAGGGUAAAAGGCUGAGAAGCUUAAGGUAUUUCAGUCUGUUUUAUGUUACUCAUUUGCGAAAAGCAGGCUCAUCGAAUACAGGUGAGUUUCAACGUGUCUUGAAUAUGGCAGCAUUUAAAAGUCUUCAGACCAGGCAUGGUGGCUCAUGCCUGUCAUCCCAGCACUUUGGGAGGCCGAGGCAGGCAGAUCAUGAGGUCAGGAGAUCGAGACCAUCCCGGCUAACAGUGAAACCCUGUCUCUACUGAAAAUACAAAAAAAAUCAGCCGGGCGUGGUGGCAGGCGCCUGUAGUCCCAGCUGCUCGGGAGGCUGAGGCAGGAGAAUGGCGUGAACCCAGGAGUUGGAGCUUGCAGUGAGCCGAGAUUGUGCCACUGCACUCCAGCCUGGGCGACAGUGAGACUGCUUCUCAAAAAAAAAAAAAAAAAAAAA